rnacentral:misc_RNA from 1 species
AGUAGGAAUAAAGAAAAAAGGUUAAUGAACUAUUUCUCUCUUUUAAUUAUUUGUACUUUGAUCAACAUCUUUGAUGCACCACAAAUGCAAUUAGUUUCCACAUUUCCCUUGCAUGGCUUCUUCAUUGUGGAAUGUGGAUUCAUGUGUGUGUUUGGGCCUUCAUAAAGUUGCUUUUAUGUCUAACAAACUCAUCCAUCAGUCAAUUAAAAAUUAUCAGUGUAAUGUGAGGUUAGCAAGCCUUAAUAUUUGUUUAAUUCACGUUCAAUUGAUGCUAUGCAUUUAUUUAAUUGAAAAAUUAUCAUUGCCAACUAUUGCAGGUUUACUUCAGAUGUGGGACA